AUCUAACUGAUGAGUCCCAAAUAGAACGACACACGCGUCCUUGAU
rnacentral:hammerhead_ribozyme from 1 species